rnacentral:rRNA from 1 species
UACGGGGGGGGCAAGCGUUGUUCGGAAUUACUGGGCGUAAAGGGCUCGUAGGCGGCCAACUAAGUCUGACGUGAAAUCCCUCGGCUUAACCGGGGAACUGCGUCCGAUACUGGAUGGCUUGAGUGUGGGAGAGGGAUGCGGAAUUCCAGGUGUAGCGGUGAAAUGCGUAGAUAUCUGGAGGAACACCGGUGGCGAAGGCGGCAUCCUGGACCACGACUGACGCUCAUGCACGAAAGCGUGGGGAGCAAACAGG